GUGGGGACUCCCCAUCCCCCCAGCCUCUGGCAACCACCAUCCUCCUUUCUGUCUCUGUGAAUUUGCCUGCUCUGUGAAUUUGCCUGCUCUAGGGACCUCAGAACAAGGCAAGCAAGCUGCUGCUGUACUUACCCACUCUUGGACCUCUGGGAAGGCCGCUAAAAAGGCCGAAUGCAGUAACAGCGUCGAACGUGGGAUUUCCAAGUGAAACCCAUCACACCUUGGUAUCAGAGCACCAGACGGCCCGGCAGAGGAAUCUGGAGAAGCAAAAGACACAACAGAGAUAAACCAAAAUUCUUGCCUUCCAGUCCCCGGCCAGGAAAACCUCCACCUCCCUGGACGGACAACCUGGAUCGACAAGUGCUUCUGUCUCUCUGGCUCAAGGUCAACAUUUGGAAGUAUCACCAUGAUGCCACAAUAAAAGGAGAAUUUUCAAAAGAGAAUUUUCAAAAAUUGAUUGAUUGUUGUGUUAAGCUAUUAUGUGUGAAUCAUAAAAAUGACACCCUCUUAGUUAUCCGGAAGCCAAGAACUCUGAGUUGCUGUAUCA